UCCAAGGCUACCAUUGGCUGGGGGGUGGGGCUCUGUGCUGAUGCAAUAAAGCCCAAGGGCUGGGCCCCUCAUUACCCAGGAGAGGAGAGAUGCACAAAGGUAGACCCACUGGGAGGCCUUAGUGUGCCCAAGAAUACCUGCACACCAGAGAAGACUAACAUGCAACUAUCAACUGUAGGCACCAGACAGCCAUGCCAAAGAACCAAAGGGCAGAAGAGAAAGAACACCUCCUGUCAGCAAAAGACCAGAGACAGUGGCAAGAUGGAGAAGAAAAAGAUGAAAGUGAAGAAAACCUUUCAAAGGAGUUUGAGAAAACAAAUUCCUCUGUCAUCUCCCUCCUGUUCAAGAAAGCCUCGGGGAGCAAUAAGACCAAUGAUAUUCAUCUGCUUCCACAAGAUGAAUGAGCUACAAAGUAAAAAUAACCAGAGAAUGAAUGAAACACACUGGAGAACUGAACCAUUCUGUGUAACAACCUGCACAGCUAGUAAAUGCAGAGCCUGGGUCAGAGCCUUAGAGCUAGCUACAAAGGCUCCAGAGGCAACCAUGGAGAAGUGGGUAAUUAUAUAGGGGCCUUGAAUACAAAGGCCAACGGGACACAGAGAUGCUAGUGACUGAAGUAAAAUCAAUCAGACAUGCAAAAGAGAUAUGUGUAUGUGUGCCUAUGUUGGGGGGAGGAAAGGAAGGGAAGAGGAAGGUGUGUGAUCAGGGAGGUUGUUCCUGCAGAGUUGAAGGCCAGGCCAAGAAGUCUAGAGUAUGCCACUGGUGGGAAAGGACUAGGAGGAGACUGAGAAAUGAAGACAAAUUUCCUCAAUACUUUGUCCCAUGGACAAGAAUAAAAAGAGCUUUUGUGAUUCUGUAUAUGUUUUGGGGUGGGGAACAAUGUCAAGAUGUAGAUUUUCAGAGCCCAGAUGAGACGAGCAUUUGAUGUGCAGUGUAUGACAAUGACACUCCCCGGAAGGAGCAAACAAAAUCCCCUCCAGAUCACCCACGUCAGAGUGGUGUAUGUUGAAUGCUCCUCUAUGGUACAAGCAACUAAAAGCCUUCAGAAGGACCAAAAUAUUCAUCUUAUUAAAAGUCACUUCCAGAAACCCUCAAGGAGUAAAAUAACAGAGUUUGGAAGUCACAAAGCCAACACUGAUUAGGCUACUUUCUUGUUAAGAAGCUUGGAGUCCCCAUGAUCCUAACUACUCUGACGGCAGAGGUGGAAGCCCUGCAAGUUUAUAGCUAGCAUGGGCAGCUUCUUAAAACC
rnacentral:lncRNA from 1 species